rnacentral:tRNA from 1 species
AUGUAGUUCAAUAGUAGAACACAUGCUUGGCAUGCAUAAGGCCUUGGGUUCCAUCCCCAGCAU